GCCUCGUUGGCUCAGGGGCAGAGCGUGUGUUUAGUAAGUAGAAGGUCGCUUGUUCGAUUCCAGCAUGAGGCA